GGAGCCGCCGCCCGUCACGCGCUGCGGGAGCCGACGCAGGUUGCCGCCUGUCGCGCCCUUCGCCGCGGGAGAGCCGGAGCCGCCGCCCGUCGCGCGCCGGGGGAGCCACCGCAGGUCGCCACCCUUUGCCGCGGGAGAGCCACCGCAGGUCGCCACCCUUCGCCGCGGGAGAGCCGGGGCCGCCGCGAUCGUGAGCAGCCGCCCGCCCAUCCUCCAUCCCCACGCGGGCGCACCUUCCUUCAGCUCCUCCUCGCGCCGCCCCUCUCCUUUGCCCCAGCCGCCAAGACCCCGCGGUCGCUUCACCGGGUUGCGGCGCCGCCCCGCCCGAUAGCCUCCCAGCGGCCGCCUGCCGCCAUCCGCGCAGACUGCUUAACCGACGCCCGCGGCCGCUUCACCGGGCCACGGCGUCGCCCGCCCAUCCCUGCGUGUGCGAUGGCUGAAAAUUUCGAUCUGCGAUGGUGCACGGAGAUCAAGCAAUGACGGCAACAUCAUCGAGCUUUGCAGCAUUUUAGGUGGAAUGGUGAAUCUUGAAGCGAAAGUACCAAACGGUACGAGCACUUUCUGGCCCUAUAGCUUGAGUUGAAGCCUGGGAUAAAGGUCGUUUUUCUUAUGAAGAUCAAAUAACCCAUGGUUUUGGAUGUCAAGUGUGGAAUAGGCAGACCAUUAAGAGAAAUUCCAAGAUUUAGGUUUAAUUCCCGUUUCGCGCUUUCACCUCUCUUCAUAUCUGUGAAUACUGAUGUGUUCGGGUUUAGACAUUCUCAUAUGCAUGAUUAAUGCAACUGAAGUGAUUCAUGUUUUUCUUACUUUGAACUGAAAACCUGUGGGGGCAUGAUUUUGAGGAGGCGAUCCCGAGCACCAAUAAGUUAGAGAAGUUCGACCUCAACCUUUCCAGGAAUUAAUCUAUUUUGGAACGGAGGUCGCCACCAAGAACGGGUAACAUGGAGGCGUGCCUUAGCCUGGAGCCCAGCAAGAAGAUCAUCGGGAGCUUCGGGACAUUUGAGACGGCCGUUCUCCAUGUGGCCAACGCCAGCCAGCUGCAGGCAUUGCGCCGGCCUCGGCAGGAGUCGGUCAAGCCCAAUUGUAGCAUCUAUUGACCAAUGCAAGCUCCAUCAGGAUGUGCGUAGUGUCCAUAAGUUCCCUUUUGGCCAGUACAUGGAGAAAAAAACAUGGAAUGUACAACAAUCCUACAUGAAACAUUCUGAACGAAGUCUUAUUGAGCUACCCCUAGAAAUUUUUGCAGCUUCUGUGAACUCUUGUUUUAUGUUCUAUAGGGCCAACUUGCAUUUUCACGUCAAGCAUGGCUGAUUAUCAGAGGGCAAGGAAAGAUGGAGUAGCAGAAGCAUUGCUUACGAUGAGUUCAUCGGGUCAAUAGUGCACAUUAACAAGCAUUGCCUGUUGUCCGCCUUUGCCUACUUUGACGAGGACGAUAGCGGGUACAUCACCGUUGACCGCUGGAAGAGGUGUGCUGGGAGUACAACACAAGCUGACCGGCAUCGCGACAUCGCCAGGGAGGUCGGCAAUGACAACAUGCGAUGUUCAAAUUGACUAUGGAGAGUAUAUGACAACUCAUGCAGGUUCGUAAUGACUUGAAGAAAGCAUAUGAGAAGCGAGUAUAGGAGCUUUAAUAUUAGAGCAACAGGGGAGGAGCAAAUGAUUGAAGGGCUAUCAGCCGUGUAAAAGAAAGCUGAGGAUAACGUCACCAGGUGGAAAACUAUAUUUGGUUGACAUAAUAACACUAGCAAAGAAGUAUAGACGUUGAUGCAAAUGUAUGGAGCAGGGUAACCAACAGAUCCACACAUUUGGUCAGUGAUGAAUCAGUGCAACCUAUUGUGGGAGGGGAGGAUAUUCGAUCUGAGUAUGUCAGAGAGGAGGAGCAAGACAGAAUUAAUAAGGCAAUAAUUGUUUCCCUUUUAGUUUGGAUCUCUGUUGCUUCAUGAUGAUAUUAUCUAACUGAUGAAAAGGGAAUGUUGUACGUGACUGAUGAAAGAGUUGUUUCGCCUCACCAGGCAAGAAACUUUUGACCCAUCCCUGCAAUGUAUUUUCAUAGUGCCCUUGUAUAAGUAAAUGGAAAGAAUUCUGAAUGAUGAAGAGUGUCUUAUUGCAUUAGUUUUUUUAUAUCUGCAGAGUGUGCACAUGACUUUCUUCCCUGCCUUUACUUACUAAUGAAAAAUAAACAGCAAUGCAUGUUAUCUUUACUAAAUAAUAACACUAAGUAGGAAUUCAGAAUAAUAACAUAUUAAUAACAACGGGUAGGAAUUCUGAAUAAAAAUAGUGCAUGAGAAAUAUGGCAUGCACCUUAACAUAGAAAUGUCCUUUUCAAUUGCUCGGAUGUUAAUGUUGCAAAUGUUCUUUUCUUGUUCUCUUAAUAAUGGUUUCAGACAGAGAGUUGCGCCCAUGUUGUAUGCCAACAUUGGUCCUUAGAUUAGUCAAUUUUUGUUGCAGCAUAUGUUCUCUAUAGAUUUUUUUAGAAUGUCUAUGAAGUUUCAUCUGCAAGCUUUUGAUCCAAAUGGCUACAUCCUUAUAAGGCUAUUUCUUGUUUGUAAGAUGAAUAGUCUAUGUCAAGACUCAAGACUCAAGAGAAGCAAGAGUGCAUAGCAGUAGCAGUUGUUCAACCAAGCUCUGCGGUAUGGACUUUCUCUUGCACAGACAAUUGGUUUCAACAAGAUCAUAGUGAACUUGGACAAUCUGCAGGUUAUCAAUACAAUGAACGAGGGAGGCCGAUCACUGCACCCCGUGGCUGCAUUUUUUUGGUGAUUGCUAUCAAUGGCGUGCAAAUUCUAUUUUACUUCAUUUGUGCACUGUCCUAGGGAAGCUAAUAUUGUUGCACAUGGAUUAGCUAAGUUGGCUAAAUGCCCUUCUUGUAACAGUUUCCUUGAUAAGUCUCCUGGGGAGCUCAUCCCUCUCUUGCUAAA